CACCUCCAUUUCCUCUUACUCAAAUUAGCACUGCGUUAAUUAACACUGUAGUCCAUCAACGGGCGUUUCUCUGUACAGUACAGGAGCAGAGCUUAUAUAGACAAACCAAACCACAUAUAAAAAGCACCUACCAAAACUCUUCAUCAUGUACAAAAUGGGAAGCGCACGUCUGAGUGACCGAGGGCAAGAUUCAGAUUAAGAAGAAGGAUCACAAGGGAUGGCAAUCAUCAAGAAAUGAAUAGAAGACGGCUUGUGACUGAUGUAGAGAAGAAUGACUGAACUGACUGUUUGGAAUUAUUCUGGAAUUAGACUAGAAUGAGGUCUCCUCUCUGCCCAUCUAAGCUAAUAAACCUUCAGAUAGUUUAUUAUGGAAUUGGCUCCAAGGGCUGUCUUUGGUGUGAGAUCUAAAGUAAACUUGACCUGGGUCUGCCCCGAGGUUGGUAGUCGUACUCUUGAGCCACUGCAGGACAACUCGACACAUGGUAUGCUACAUGAUGAUGAAGUUUCUUAAACUCUUUUAUGGAGUCUGGUUAGCAAUUACAUGGAUUUUUGAGGAACAAUUCCAGAGCUUUGACUGAAUGAAAUAUACUGAAACCAAAAAGAAAAGCUUGGUCUUGAUUAUCUAUAUUACAGAUUAGCUUGAAGGAAAUAAUUAUUACCAAUCUGUACCAUAACAGCUGUACUUAACUGCAAUGUGACAUUUAAGGUCUGUGGAGCAGGAGAUGUCUUUUUGUUCUGGGCCUGCAUAGCAUGCAGCACAAUGAGGUUCUAAUCCGUGAUUGGGGAUCCUAGAUGGUCCCAUAAAAUAAACAAUAUUAUAUUAAUAAUAAUAUUUCUAUUAUUCUAUUUGGAUUGUUGCUUUAAUUUUAUUUUUGAAGGUUUAUCUUUAGCUCUUGGAGCUAAACUGUCAAAGGCUCAUUCAUCAGGCCACUCCCAAACCAUAUAUAGUCCUAUGGCCUGAUUCUCAUCUUGUAGAAAUGUAAGGCCCCAGUCUGGUAGUCAAAUCUGUGUGAGCAGUACCUGGGGACUGUGCAGAGCCCACUGACUUCAGUGCAGGUCCAGGCAGGCAUAAAUGUCAGCCCACACAGCUCUGAUUGCAGGAAAGCAGCCUUCAAACAGAAGUGACUCUGCAGAAGUCAGAUGCAGUUAGACCUAGGUAAAACAGCGAUGUAAGCAAAAGGAGAAUAGGACCCAAAACACACUUGCAUAUGCACAUUCAACCAAAGAAAUAAAACACCUGCACAUGUAACCCAAACACCUCCUGGGUGUGCUGUUCUGUCCCAUCUAGUGGCACUGAGACCACUUAAAGAGAGAGGUAAAAUCAGCCUGCUGUUUUAAAAUGAGUCUGCCAGUUGGCUUUUAGCUCAUGCAUUAGAAGGCUCAUGCACUAAGCUCCAUAGGUCCCCGGUUCAAUCCAUAACCAGGGUCUAUCGGCGUUACACACCCAUAUGCAGAUGAGGGCUUUGCAGGUGCAACGGGUGGUGCACAUUUUGUAUCCUUCACCUCUUGCACUGGGCUUUGAAAAUAUGGCCAUUUUAAUCAGUCCAGUUGUUUACAGCCAUCUCUUAGGUGUAAUGAACAAAUAGAUAGCAAGGACAUUGAAGUUGGUUUAUUAGAAACCUUUUCAUUUUUUAUAAUUUUAAAAUGGAAAUCAACAGGGAAAAUACCAGAUUCAUUGCUAAUAGGUGAAGUGUGACUUUUCCAAUAUGUUAAGAUUAUAUUUUAUUAGUUCAAGAAAAAUAUGGUUAUAGAAAAUUAAUAUUUACCACUCCUUAAAAGAUUUUGCAGAAUUUUCUGUCUUCUCUCUGUUUCUUUCGCAUUAUAUUUUCCCUUUUCUGAUAUUUAUGCUUUUUGUUUCACAUGUUCAGCAAUCACAAUAUAUCUCUUAUACUCAUGGUUUUCAAUCAAAAUAUAUUUAAAAUUGCAUUUAAUAAAUACCUUUAACAUAGUAUCAACAGCAUUUUAUUUUUGUUGAUAUUUCUGGCUUCACUAUAUGUCAAAAUGUAAUUGGUUUAUUAAGGACCAAUCCUACAUUCCUAAUUCAAGAUAAAACUUCCACUGAAAUCAAUGGGAAGUCAAUUGUCUUGGUAUGGAUUUCAAAGUUGAGCCUUUAGCUUAGUUUUAUGAGUGUAACAGAGCCUUAAAUAUUUUUUCUUACCAUUGUCUGGCAGAACAUUUUUUCCACCAGUCUAGUUUAACUGGUGGUGUAAUUAAUAUGUAUAAUUCCAAAUUUUGUAAUAAAAUAAACUGCAUAUGUUGUUAAGACAAA